rnacentral:rRNA from 1 species
UACGUAGGGGGCUAGCGUUGUCCGGAAUCAUUGGGCGUAAAGCGCGUGUAGGCGGUCCGGUAAGUCUGCUGUGAAAGUCGGGGGGCUCAACCCUCGAAUGCCGGUGGAUACUGUCGGGCUAGAGUGCGGAAGAGGCGAGUGGAAUUCCUGGUGUAGCGGUGAAUGCGCAGAUAUCAGGAGGAACACCUAUUGCGAAGGCAGCUCGCUGGGACGUAACUGACGCUGAGACGCGAAAGCGUGGGGAGCAAACAGG